rnacentral:rRNA from 1 species
GGGACGGGGGGAUCAGCUCAUAGCGUAUAUAAAAGUUGUUGCAGUUAAAAGCUCGUAGUUGAACCUUGGGUCUGGGGAAGGGGGUCCGCCUCACCGCGAGUACAGGUCCGGCUGGCCCCUUCCUUCUGGGGAACCCCAUGGCCUUCACUGGCUGUGGGGGGAACCAGGACUUUUACUGUGAAAAAAUUAAAGUGUCCAAAGCAGGCCUUUGCUCGGAUACAUUAGCAGGGAAUAAUAGAAUAGGACGUGCGGUUCUAUUUUUUUGGUUUCAAGGAACGCCCUGAUGCUCCACAGGGAUUGUCGGGGGCCUCAGUAU